CCGCUCGCCGGAAGACCAAGGGUUCCUGUCCAACGUUAAUCGGGGCAGGGUGAGUCGACCCCUAAGGCGAGGCCGAAAGGCGUAGUCGAUGGGAAACAGGUUAAUAUUCCUGUACUUGGUGUUACUGCGAAGGGGGGACGGAGAAGGCUAUGUUGGCCGGGCGACGGUUGUCCCGGUUUAAGCGUGUAGGCUGGUUUUCCAGGCAAAUCCGGAAAACUAAGGCUGAGGCGUGAUGACGAGGCACUACGGUGCUGAAGCAACAAAUGCCCUGCUUCCAGGAAAAGCCUCUAAGCAUCAGGUAACAUCAAAUCGUACCCCAAACCGACACAGGUGGUCAGGUAGAGAAUACCAAGGCGCUUGAGAGAACUCGGGUGAAGGAACUAGGCAAAAUGGUGCCGUAACUUCGGGAGAAGGCACGCUGAUAUGUAGGUGAAGUCCCUCGCGGAUGGAGCUGAAAUCAGUCGAAGAUACCAGCUGGCUGCAACUGUUUAUUAAAAACACAGCACUGUGCAAACACGAAAGUGGACGUAUACGGUGUGACGCCUGCCCGGUGCCGGAAGGUUAAUUGAUGGGGUCAGCGCAAGCGAAGCUCUUGAUCGAAGCCCCGGUAAACGGCGGCCGUAACUAUAACGGUCCUAAGGUAGCGAAAUUCCUUGUCGGGUAAGUUCCGACCUGCACGAAUGGCGUAAUGAUGGCCAGGCUGUCUCCACCCGAGACUCAGUGAAAUUGAACUCGCUGUGAAGAUGCAGUGUACCCGCGGCAAGACGGAAAGACCCCGUGAACCUUUACUAUAGCUUGACACUGAACAUUGAGCCUUGAUGUGUAGGAUAGGUGGGAGGCUUUGAAGUGUGGACGCCAGUCUGCAUGGAGCCGACCUUGAAAUACCACCCUUUAAUGUUUGAUGUUCUAACGUUGACCCGUAAUCCGGGUUGCGGACAGUGUCUGGUGGGUAGUUUGACUGGGGCGGUCUCCUCCUAAAGAGUAACGGAGGAGCACGAAGGUUGGCUAAUCCUGGUCGGACAUCAGGAGGUUAGUGCAAUGGCAUAAGCCAGCUUGACUGCGAGCGUGACGGCGCGAGCAGGUGCGAAAGCAGGUCAUAGUGAUCCGGUGGUUCUGAAUGGAAGGGCCAUCGCUCAACGGAUAAAAGGUACUCCGGGGAUAACAGGCUGAUACCGCCCAAGAGUUCAUAUCGACGGCGGUGUUUGGCACCUCGAUGUCGGCUCAUCACAUCCUGGGGCUGAAGUAGGUCCCAAGGGUAUGGCUGUUCGCCAUUUAAAGUGGUACGCGAGCUGGGUUUAGAACGUCGUGAGACAGUUCGGUCCCUAUCUGCCGUGGGCGCUGGAGAACUGAGGGGGGCUGCUCCUAGUACGAGAGGACCGGAGUGGACGCAUCACUGGUGUUCGGGUUGUCAUGCCAAUGGCACUGCCCGGUAGCUAAAUGCGGAAGAGAUAAGUGCUGAAAGCAUCUAAGCACGAAACUUGCCCCGAGAUGAGUUCUCCCUGACUCCUUGAGAGUCCUGAAGGAACGUUGAAG
rnacentral:rRNA from 1 species